rnacentral:rRNA from 1 species
AACGAACGCUGGCGGCAUGCCUAACACAUGCAAGUCGAACGAGACCUCCGGGCUUAGUGGCGCACGGGUGCGUAAGGCGUGGGAACCUGCCCGUAGGUUCGGAAUAACUCCCCGAAAGGGGUGCUAAUACCGGAUAAUAUCUUCGGACCAAAGAUUUAUCGGCGUUGGAUGUGCCCGCGUUAGGUUAACUGGUUGGUAGGGUAAAAGCCUACCUAGGCGACGUUCUAUAGCUGGUGGGAGAGGAUGAUCAGCCACACUGGGACUGAGACACGGCCCAGACUCCUACGGGAGGCAGCAGUGGGGAAUAUUGGACAAUGGGCGAAAGGCUGAUCCAGCAAUGCCGCGUGAGUGAUGAAGGCCUUAGGGUUGUAAAGCUCUUUUACCCGGGAUGAUAAUGACAGUACCGGGAGAAUAAGCGCCGGCUAACUCCGUG